AGAGUUUGAUCCUGGCUCAGGAUGAACGCUAGCGGCAGGCUUAAUACAUGCAAGUUGAAGGGCAGCAUGAUAUACGUAAGUAUAUUGAUGGCGACCGGCGGACGGGUGGGUAAAAGGUAGGAGACCUACCUCAUACAGGGGGAUAGCAUAGAGAAAUCUGUGGUAAUACCCCAUGAGGUUAUAUGAAUAGAGGCAUAUAAUCAAAGUAUACGAGAGUAUGCGGUAUGAGAUGGGCCUACUGACCAUUAGCUAGUUGGUGAGGUAAGGGCUCACCAAGGCGAAGAUGGUUAGGGGUUUUGAGAGAGAGAUCCCCCACAUUGGAACUGAGAUACGGUCCAGACUCCUACGGAAGGCAGCAGUAGGGAAUAUUGGGCAAUGGGCGAAAGCCUGACCCAGCCAUGCUGCGUGAAGGAAGACGGCCUUAUGGGUUGUAAACUUCUUUACUAUACGAAUAGAGGUUAGUACGAGAUACUAAUAGGAAGGUAGUAUAGCAAAAAGCACCGGCUAACUCCGUGCCAGCAGCCGCGGUAAUACGGAGGGUGCAAGCGUUAUUCGGAAUUACUGGGUUUAAAGGGUGCGUAGGCGGUUAUAUAAGUUGUCAGUGAGAGGCUACGGCUCAACUGUAGUAGUGCUGGCGAUACUGUAUAACUAAGAACAUGGGAGGGGUACCUGGAAUGUGUGGUGUAGCGGUGAAAUGCAUAGAUAUCACACAGAACACCGGAGGCGAAGGCGGGGUACUAGACCAUAGUUGACGCUGAGGCACGAAAGCGUGGGGAGCAAACAGGAUUAGAUACCCUGNUAGUCCACGCCCUAAACGAUGAUCACUAGAUAUUGGCGACAUACAGUCAGUGUCCAAGCGAAAGUGAUAAGUGAUCCACCUGGGGAAUACGGCCGCAAGGUUAAACUCANUGAAUUGACGG
rnacentral:rRNA from 1 species